AGAAUUCCAGGGUUUCGGCCCUUCCAGACCGUCUCUCCUCAGGGUUGGAGACUUCGGGGCCAAGAUGGCGACGGGAACGGGCAAACACAAGCUGCUAAGCACUGGCCCCACAGAGCCAUGGUCCAUCCGAGAGAAGCUAUGUUUAGCAUCUUCUGUCAUGAGAAGUGGCGAUCAAAAUUGGGGGUGGUCUUACUCUGUCACCCAGGCUGGAGUGCAGUGGCGCGAUUUGGGCUCACUGCAGCCUCUUGACUUCCUGGGCUCAAGGGAUCCUCCUACCUCAGCUGCCCAAGUAGCUGGGACCACAGGCCGCAGGGUAUCAGUUAGCAGAGCAAUCAAGCCCUUUGCAGAACCUGGCCGCCCUCCAGACUGGUUCUCUCAAAAACAUUGUGCUUCCCAGUACUCGGAGCUUUUAGAGACCACUGAGACACCAAA
rnacentral:lncRNA from 10 species